GCCUACGGCCAUAUCACCCUGAAUGCGCCCGAUCUUGUCCGAUCUCGGAAGCUAAGCAGAUUCUAGCCUCGUUAAUACUUGAAUGAAAGAAAUCCUGCCUCUGGACCGCAGCCA
rnacentral:rRNA from 1 species